AGUAAAAGUCGUAACAAGGUUUCCGUAGGUGAACCUGCGGAAGGAUCAUUAUAGAGCGUGAAGCUAUGCGGAACUUCGUUUCGUGUAGUUGACCCUCCACCCGUGUCGAUUAUCUCAUGUUGCUUUGGCGGAUCGGGCUUGCCCGCGCCCACUUUGUGGGGGACAUCCGCCAGGGAAAACCAAAACUCUUGUUAUUAGUGAUGUCUGAGGAUGAUAUAUAAUCAUGAAAACUUUCAACAACGGAUCUCUUGGCUCUGGCAUCGAUGAAGAACGCAGCGAAAUGCGAUAAGUAAUGUGAAUUGCAGAAUUUAGUGAAUCAUCGAAUCUUUGAACGCACAUUGCGCCCCUGGGAAUUCCCAGGGGCAUGCCUGUUCGAGCGUCCGUAACAACCUCUCAAGCCUAGCUUGGUAUUGGGACUCGCUGCCCUUGUGGCGGUCCUCAAAAGCAGUGGCGGGACCAUGUAACUCUCCGCGUAGUAAUACAUCUCGCGACAGAGAAGCAUUGGGACUUGCCAAAACUCCUUAAUUGCUCAGGUUGACCUCGAAUCAGGUAGGGAUACCCGCCGAACUUAAGCAUAUCAAUAAGCGGAGGAAAAGAAACCAACAGGGAUUGCCUUAGUAACG
rnacentral:rRNA from 1 species